GGCUUCUGGAGGUAUGGGAAGUGCGAAUGCUGACAUGAGUAACGACAAUGGGUGUGAAAAACACCCACGCCGAAAGACCAAGGGUUCCUGCGCAACGUUAAUCGACGCAGGGUUAGUCGGUUCCUAAGGCGAGGCUGAAAAGCGUAGUCGAUGGGAAACAGGUUAAUAUUCCUGUACUUCUGGUUACUGCGAUGGAGGGACGGAGAAGGCUAGGCCAGCUUGGCGUUGGUUGUCCAAGUUUAAGGUGGUAGGCUGAAAUCUUAGGUAAAUCCGGGGUUUCAAGGCCGAGAGCUGA
rnacentral:rRNA from 1 species